rnacentral:rRNA from 1 species
AUUGAACGCUGGCGGCAGGCCUAACACAUGCAAGUCGAGCGGAGCGGCGGACGGGUGAGUAAUGCCUCGGAAUCUGCCUGGUAGGGGGGGAUAAAGUACGGGAACGGGCGCUAAUACCGCAUACUAUAAGGGGAGCCGAGGUCGGAUUAGCUAGUUGGUGGGGUAACGGCCUACCAAGGCGAAGAUCCGUAACUGGUCUGAGAGGAGGAUCAGUCACACUGGAACUGAGACACGGUCCAUACUCCUACGGGAGGCAGCAGUGGGGAAUAUUGGACAAUGGGCGAAAGCCUGAUCCAGCCAUGCCGCUUGUGUGAAGAAGGUCUUCGGAUUGUAAAGCACUUUAAGUUGGGAGGCGUUACCAACAGAAUAAGCACCGGCUAACUUCGUGCCAGCAGCCGCGGUAAUAC